AAAAAAAUUACACCACGUAAGACCGCCCAGUCAGCAGCCCCGACGAACCGGAGUAUGCUGCGUGGGAAGGAGCGUUGACUCAGCUCCACGCGGGAGGCCACGCUAGCAAUCUGCGUGCUUCCGAUCGGACGGCCCGGAUGCAUUCCCACACGCGUGGACAGUCCAGAUCCAUUCUCUCUUCAGACCCGAUCGGACGGUUAUGAUUAAACAAGAUGAACGGUGCAUAUUUAUUUUUUCUUUAAACCUGAUCGAAAGGUCAAGAUCAAAUCGUGACGAAUGGUUCAAAUUCAUUUCUUCUUUAAAUGCGAUCUGACGUUCGAGAUCAAAUGUGAUGAAUGACCUAUAUUUAAGGGAGACCGGUAUAAAUAUCUCGCAUCACACCGAACCCAGACCAUAGACGCCAGCCUCACACCGGAGAAGAAGAACCAGUCAUUGGAAAAAGGAGACGACCGCCGACAGCCGCCGCGCUGGAGCCACCUCCGACCGCCAAAAAAGGUAAAAAUUCUUCUAUUUGUUAGGAAUUUAAUUCUGAAUAACCUCAUAGCCAAAUCGAAGCAUAAAGAAUGGCAGAUGCGCUGAAAAUCGGGGGCAAAGCCUAGCGGCGCCGAUGCGGGCAAAACUCGAAAUCGCCUCUGAAGAGUCCCUUCUCGUUUCUCCUUUUGUGUGAUUUUUCUACCAUUGUGUUCACCAUUCUGUUUUCUAUAGGUUAGCCGAAGAAAAA
rnacentral:lncRNA from 1 species